UUCUCCUUUUCUCCUCUCUUUUCUGUCGUCUCCCCCAGUUCUGCGUUUCUUAGACUCUCACUUCUCUCUGUGCAUCAGCUUUGGUCUCUCAUCUAGUCACCUCUCUCUGCCAAGUCACUCAUUCUCCUCAGCACUCUACUCUCAUUCUCUCAUCAGGUUUUGUUUAUUGACAGAUCAACCUCAAAAUCCUAAGCCACAAAAAGUUCAGAAGAAAGUAAUUAAUGACAGGUUUUCUUUGCUAGUGUUGUAUCGUUUUGUGACGCACAUACAAUUGAGGCUCCAGAUUUUAGUGCUCGCCAUAUGGAAGGUACGGGUCGUCUUUCUCAACAACAAAAUUGUGUCACUAUUGAGCAUUAUUAUCGUGUUGAAAUAUUCAAUGCCGUAAUUGAUUUUCAAUUGAUGGAACUAAAUAGUAGAUUCAAUGAGCAAACAAGGGAACUCUUGAUUCUUAGUUCUGCAUUAGAUCCUCGAUUUGAUUUUCAAUCAUUUGACAUUGACAAAAUAUGUUGUUUGGCUGAGAAAUUCUAUCCUCAUGAUGUGCCUGAUUUGAAUGAUCUAAGAGACUAAUUGGAGCAUUUUGAGUAUCAAUUCUCUGAACUUUCAGAAUUUCAAGAUUUAUGCACCAUUUCUGAGUUAUGUCAAGAAUUUGUUAACACAAGGACACCAUUCAUGUUGAUUGAGAGACUAGUCUGUCUAGUGAUGACUCUUCCUGUUUCUACGGCUACAACAGAGAGAGCAUUUUCAGCCAUGAAGCUCAUUAAGAACCGACUUCGAAGCAAGAUGAGUGAUGACUUUCUUGCAGAUUUAAUGACAGUGCAUAUUGAGAGAGAAAUUGUUGAUACUAUUGAUUCAAAUUCGGUUAUUGAUGAGUUUUAUGCUUUUGGUAACCGGAGAGCACAACUUAAGUAGUUGAAUUUGUAUUGACAUUGAAUAUUUAACUUUGAAUUGUUUCAAUUUUCUAUUGCUAGAUUUGGGUAACAAAAUGCA